rnacentral:rRNA from 1 species
GCGCGAAAACUUUACAAUGCUGGAAACAGCGAUAAGGGAACCCCGAGUGCCAGGUUACAAAUCUGGCUGUCGAGAUGCCUAAAAAGCAUUUCAUAGCAAGGGCCGGGCAAGACCGGUGCCAGCCGCCGCGGUAACACCGGCGGCUCGAGUGGUAACCGUUAUUAUUGGGUCUAAAGGGUCUGUAGCCGGCCGGAUAAUUCUCUUGAGAAACCUGGCAGCUUAACUGUCAGGCUUUCAGGAGAUACUGUCUGGCUCGAGGCCGGGAGAGGUGAGGGGUACUUCAUGGGUAGGAGUGAAAUCUUGUAAUCCUUGAAGGACCACCAGUGGCGAAGGCGUCUCACCAGAACGGACCUGACGGCAAGGAACGAAAGCUAGGGGCACGAACC